ensembl:lincRNA
UAAUAUAAUAUGCUUGGCACUCCUUUUUUGCAUUUUAGAAUCAGGUAAUCUGUCAGUCCACUCCAUGAAAGGCAGUUCACCAAGUCCUCAGAGGCGGCAGUGGGAGAAAAAUGUACCCAGCACAACUCUUAGAGCUUUGGAAAAUGCACCCAUACUCACCUCCAGUUUAACUGCAGAGGAUGAUAGAGGUGGUUCUAUAAUAAAGUAUAGUGAAAAUAACACCCGUAAGCAGUGGCUCAGAGAGACCCCUGAUACCCUAUUGAACAUCCUUAGCAAUGCUGAUCUCAGCCUGGCAUUUCAAACGUACACAAUAUAUAGACCAGGUUCAGAAGGAUUUUUGAAAGGCCCCCUAUCUGAUGAAACAGAAGUAUCAGACAGUGUUGAUGGAGAUCACAAUUCUGUCAUUUUUGAUCCAGAGAGACUCGAACCUAGGCUGGAUGAAGAAGACACGGACUUUGAGGAAGAUGACGACGACCUUGAUUGGGUGUCAGAAUUGAGGAAGCGAGCUGAAUGGCAGGGUGUGUGCGAUGGAUAACGCCUGCCCGAGAGAAUGUGCUGGAGUCCCAUGGGAGAGAUGUUUCAAAUGAAGAAUUCACGUUUGGAAAUAGAAUGAAGAGUGGGGAACUGCCAAUACUUAAAAUUGCUCCUGAUUAGCAUCACAGUUUUAAAAAUCUAGAACUCCUAUGAGUGAGCACAAGUGAGAAGGUAGAGCAGACGGGUAUGAGCUUUGCAAUCUGAUAGAACAUAGGUUGGAUGCUAGCUCUACCACUAACCAGUAGUGUGAUCGAUGGUAGGAAAUUACUUCACUUCUUUGACCCCAAAUUUUCUUAGUUUUAAAAUGAGGAUAAUGAUGCCUACCCCUUGGGGAUGUUGACCAUAGAUAGUUUUAGCAGCUCAUAUGUUAACUAUUCCUGUUGCUACAACUUGUGUUUAUUACUAUAACAAUUUUCACAUUUCCUCAAGGUUUGCAGAUCUAAAUACAUUUACUUAGAAUAUAAUGUGUGCGAUUUUAUUUAUUUAUUUGGUACUGGGAAUUGAAUUCAAGGGCACUUAACUACUGAGCUGGCCCUCAAAUUUGUAUUUUAUUUAGAGACAGGGUCUCACUGAGUUGCUAAGGGCCUCACUAUGUUGCUGAGACUGGCUUUGAACUUGUAACCCUCCUGCUUCAGCUUCCUGAGCUGCUGGGAUUAUAGGCAUGCGCUGCUGUGCCCAGCAUAUGUGCAGUUUUUAAAUAAGAUCUAGCUCUGGGUAGUUAUCCUUAAGUACAGAUUCUUAUAGGAUAUACAAAAGAACCCAGUCAGAGGAUUAGCUAUGGGGAGAAUGAGGUGGAUUGUGAUUAGCUCCUUGAAGGUAGUCACUACUCUCUUAAAAAAAAGUUAAGGCAGGCAAGGAUAGUUUUAAAGUAUUUACAGAUCCUCAAUUUCCAUAUACACUAUAUUUUAUAGCUCUCAGUCAUCUCAAAUCUUAGCAUUGCCCCAGGGUGUAAACAUUUCCAAACCAUCAAUUAAAGGCAUCUUGAAUGUAUAAGAGGCUGAAUGAGUCUUGGAUUAAUUAUUUUGAAAAUCCAAUGGUUUGUAGGAUUGUUUGCUUCAAUAAAAUUUCAGGAAGUGAAUGGAAU